rnacentral:rRNA from 1 species
UAAUAUUGUAUAAAUAUAAAAAUAAUAUUGUUUAUAAAAAAUUUUAAAUUAUUCAAAAUAUAUAAAACAACUAUUUAAUAGAUUAACUAACUUAUAGUGCCAGCAGUAGCGGUUAAACUUAAAAUCUAACUUUACUUAUUUAAAUUAAAAAUAUUUUAAUUAUAAAAAAUAUCAAAAUAAAGUAAAAUUUUAACAAUAUUAUAAUAAAUAAUUUAUUAAUUAAUUUAAUAUUUUCUAAAAAAAAAAGGAUUAGAUACCCUAGUAUUAAGAAAAAUUUAAGGUAGUAUAAAAAUAUAAACCUAUUUAUAACGACGGCAUUUCAUCUAAUUAGAGGAAUCUGUUUAAUAAUUGAUAAUCCGCAAUAAAUUUCACUUUAAAAAUAAAACUUAUAUACCUCCAUUUAAAGAAACAGAUUUAACAAUUUAUUCAAAAUAAAUAAUAAAAAAUUAGGUCAAGGUGUAGUAUAUAUUAAAGAUAAAAUGGAUUACUUUAAAUAAAUUUUAGAAUUAUAAGAAAUUAUUCCUAUAUGAAAAAGGAUUUAAAAGUAUAAAUUAAAUAAUAUUUAAUUUUUAAUCAGACAAAAGAUGUGUACAUAUCGCCCGUCACCCUUUUCUACAAGAAAAGGUAAGUCGUAACAUAGUUAAUGUUUUGGAAAAAGCAUUAAG